UACAGAGGUCUCGAGCGUUAAUCGGAAUUACUGGGCUUAAAGGGUGCGUAGGCGGCUUGGCAAGUGGAUGGUGAAAUCCCUCGGCUUAACCGAGGAACUGCCGUCCAAACUGCUUCGCUUGAGACCGGGAGAGGUGAGUGGAAUUCCCAGUGUAGCGGUGAAAUGCGUAGAUAUUGGGAGGAACACCAGUGGCGAAGGCGGCUCACUGGACCGGUACUGACGCUGAAGUGCGAAAGCGUGGGGAGCAAACGGG
rnacentral:rRNA from 1 species